rnacentral:rRNA from 1 species
GACGAACGCUGGCGGCGUGCCUAAUACAUGCAAGUCGAGCGAAGUUUUUCUGGUGCUUGUACCGGAAAAACUUAGCGGCGAACGGGUGAGUAACACGUAAAGAACCUGCCUCAUAGACUGGGACAACUAUUGGAAACGAUAGCUAAUACCGGAUAACAGCAUUAACUGCAUGGUUGAUGUUUAAAAGUUGGUUUUGCUAACACUAUGAGAUGGCUUUGCGGUGCAUUAGCUAGUUGGUGGGGUAAAGGCCUACCAAGGCGACGAUGCAUAGCCGACCUGAGAGGGUGAUCGGCCACACUGGGACUGAGACACGGCCCAGACUCCUACGGGAGGCAGCAGUAGGGAAUCUUCCGCAAUGGGCGAAAGCCUGACGGAACAACGCCGCGUGAGUGAAGAAGGAUUUCGGUUCGUAAAGCUCUGUUGUUAGGGAAGAAUGAUUGUGUAGUAACUAUACACAGUAGAGACGGUACCUAACCAGAAAGCCACGGCUAACUACGUG